rnacentral:rRNA from 1 species
GAUGAACGCUGGCGGCGUGCCUAAUACAUGCAAGUCGAGCGAACAGACGAGGAGCUUGCUCCUCUGACGUUAGCGGCGGACGGGUGAGUAACACGUGGAUAACCUACCUAUAAGACUGGGAUAACUUCGGGAAACCGGAGCUAAUACCGGAUAAUAUAUUGAACCGCAUGGUUCAAUAGUGAAAGACGGUUUUGCUGUCACUUAUAGAUGGAUCAGGGCCGCAUUAGCUAGUUGGUAAGGUAACGGCUUACAAAGGCAACGAUGCGUAGCCGACCUGAGAGGGUGAUCGGCCACACUGGAACUGAGACACGGUCCAGACUCCUACGGGAGGCAGCAGUAGGGAAUCUUCCGCAAUGGGCGAAAGCCUGACGGAGCAACGCCGCGUGAGUGAUGAAGGUCUUCGGAUCGUAAAACUCUGUUAUUAGGGAAGAACAAAUGUGUAAGUAACUAUGCACGUCUUGACGGUACCUAAUCAGAAAGCCACGGCUAACUACGUGCCAGCCGCCGCAGUAA